CCUACGGGUGGCUGCAGUGGGGGAUAUUGCACAAUGGGCGAAAGCCUGAUGCAGCGACGCCGCGUGAGGGAAGACGGUCUUCGGAUCGUAAACCUCUGUCAUUGGGGAAGAAAAUGCCGGUACCUAAACAGGAAUCUCCGGCUAACUACGUGCCAGCAGCCGCGGUAAUACUUGGGGACCACGCGUUCUCGGGAAUUACUGGCGGAAAGGGUAGCGGAGGUGGGAUGGCAGGUAGAAGGGAAAAUCCAUCGGCUCAACCGGUGGCUGCGUUCGAAACUGCCGUUCUUGAGUGGAGUAGAGGCAGGCGGAAUUCCUAGUGUAGCAGUGAAAUGCGUAGAUAUUAGGAGGAACACCAGUGGCGAAGGCGACCUUCUGGGCUUUAACUGACGCUGAGGCGCGAAAGCGUGGGGAGCAAACAGGAUUAGAUACCCGAGUAGUC
rnacentral:rRNA from 1 species